rnacentral:lncRNA from 1 species
AGUUGGUCUGGCUGAGACAUCUGUCACCACAUUGAUCCCCAGAGGUGAUUUGAAUGAUCAGACAGGUGAAGCAGGUUGCCUAUCCCUCUUUUUACUGCCUUGUGUAUAUAAGCUGUCAAAGUUUCCACUGUUGAAAGUGGAUGGCCACCUCUGACAGAGGAAAGGUCAUUGUCUGGUCAGGGGUAGAAUAGAGGUAUAUAGUUAAGGGUUUAUUUCCCUUCUCCAAUCUCAACACAAGCUCUCAAGUUCAAUU